rnacentral:rRNA from 1 species
CCUUGUACACACCGCCCGUCACACCAUGGGAGGUUGGCUUUACCCGAAGGUGGUGCGCUAACCCGCAAGGGAGGCAGCCAACCACGGUAGGGGUCAGCGACUGGGGGUG